rnacentral:rRNA from 1 species
ACUGUGUGUUGUUGGGUAGGGGAGCGUUCUGUAAGCCUGUGAAGGUGGCCUGUGAGGGUUGCUGGAGGUAUCAGAAGUGCGAAUGCUGACAUAAGUAACGAUAAAGCGGGUGAAAAGCCCGCUCGCCGGAAGACCAAGGGUUCCUGUCCAACGUUAAUCGGGGCAGGGUGAGUCGACCCCUAAGGCGAGGCCGAAAGGCGUAGUCGAUGGGAAACGGGUUAAUAUUCCCGUACUUGGUGUUACUGCGAAGGGGGGACGGAGAAGGCUAUGUUGGCCGGGCGACGGUUGUCCCGGUUUAAGCGUGUAGGUGUGUGUUCCAGGUAAAUCCGGUUCACUUUAACACUGAGGCGUGACGACGAGGCACUACGGUGCUGAAGCAACAAAUGCCCUGCUUCCAGGAAAAGCCUCUAAGCAUCAGGUAACAUCAAAUCGUACCCCAAACCGACACAGGUGGUCAGGUAGAGAAUACCAAGGCGCUUGAGAGAACUCGGGUGAAGGAACUAGGCAAAAUGGUGCCGUAACUUCGGGAGAAGGCACGCUGACAC